UACAGAGGUCCCAAGCGUUGUCCGGAUUUAUUGGGCGUAAAGGGCUCGUAGGCGGCCUGUCGCGUCGGGAGUGAAAGCCCACUGCUUAACGGUGGGUCUGCUUCCGGUACGGGCGGGCUGGAGUAUGGCAGGGGAGACUGGAAUUCCUGGUGUAGCGGUGAAAUGCGCAGAUAUCAGGAGGAACACCGAUGGCGAAGGCAGGUCUCUGGGCCGAUACUGACGCUGAGGAGCGAAAGCGUGGGGAGCGAACAGG
rnacentral:rRNA from 1 species